UACGGAGGGGGCUAGCGUUGUUCGGAAUCAUUGGGCGUAAAGGGCGCGUAGGCGGCCGAUCAAGUCGGAGGUGAAAUCCCUCGGCUCAACUGAGGAAUUGCCUUCGAUACUGUUCGGCUUGAGUCCUGGAGAGGGUAGCGGAAUUCCCGAUGUAGCGGUGAAAUGCGUAGAGACCGGGAAGAACACCAGUGGCGAAGGCGGCUACCUGGACAGGUACUGACGCUGAAGCGCGAAAGCUAGGGGAGCAAACAGG
rnacentral:rRNA from 1 species